UGUGUGAAGAAGGCCUUCGGGUUGUAAAGCACUUUCGUCCGGAAAGAAAGCCUUGGGGCUAAUACCCUCGGGGAAUGACGGUACCCGAAGAAUAAGCACCGGCUAACUACGUGCCAGCAGCCGCGGUAAUACGGAGGGUGCAAGCGUUAAUCGGAAUUACUGGGCGUAAAGCGUGCGCAGGCGGUUUGCUAAGACCGAUGUGAAAUCCCCGGGCUCAACCUGGGAACUGCAUUGGUGACUGGCAGGCUAGAGUCUGGUAGAGGGGGGUAGAAUUCCACGUGUAGCAGUGAAAUGCGUAGAGAUGUGGAGGAAUACCGAUGGCGAAGGCGGCCCCCUGGACCAAUACUGACGCUCAUGCGCGAAAGCGUGGGGAGCAAACAGGAUUAGAUACC
rnacentral:rRNA from 1 species